rnacentral:rRNA from 1 species
CGGUAAAAAAGCUCGUAGGUGGAUUUCUGUUGAAUGAGGCCGGUCCAUACCACGUAUGCGCAUCUGGUUCUCUUUCGGCAUCCUUGCAUUGGACGUUUUAGCGCUUGAUUGCGUGAGGCGGUUGGUGCAACUUUUACUUUGAGGAAAUUAGAGUGUUCACGGCAGGCUAUCGCCCGAAUACAUUAGCAUGGAAUAAUGAGAUAGGAUUCCGGUUCUAUUUUGUUGGUUUCUAGAAUUGGAAUAAUGAUUAAUAGGAACAGUUGGGGGUAUCCGUAUCAUGGCGUCAGAGGUGGAAUUCUUGGAUUGCCAUGCGACGAACUACUGCGAAAGCAUUUACCAAGGAUGUUUUCAUUACUCAAGAACGAAGGCUGAAGGAUCGAAGAUGAUCAGAUACCAUCGUAGUUUCAGCAGUAAACUAUGCCAACUCAGAAUCCCGCAUCAUUCAUUUCGAUAUGCGGGGCGCUGUAUGAGAUAUCAAAGUUUUUGGGUUCCGGGGGGAGUACAAGCGCAAGCUAGAAACUUAAAGGAAUUGACGGAAGGGCACCACCAGGAGUGGAGCCUGCGGCUUAAUUUGACUCAACACGGGGAAACUCACCAGGUCCAGACAUAAUAAGGAUUGACAGAUUGAUAGCUCUUUCU